rnacentral:rRNA from 1 species
UGUUUUAGUCAAGUUAGAGGAACCUGUAUUAUAAACGAUAUGACACGCAUUCUUUUACUUGCUUUAGUAAUUCAGUUUGUAUACCGUCAUUAUUAGAUAAUUUAGGAGAGAAUAUUAUUGGAAUUAUAUUAUUAAAUAUAUUAGAUCAAGGUGCAGCUUAUGAGUAAGUAAAUAUGGGUUACAAUAAAAUUUAUUUAAUAUGAAUUGAGUAUUUAAAGAUACUUAUGAAGGAGGAUUUAAUUGUAAGAAAAGUAAUAGUAAGAUUUUCUGAUAGGAGCUCUAAAUUAU